UCACAUUCUGCCUAUGGCAGUUCCCCC
rnacentral:sRNA from 1 species